AUGGCCUGGACCCCUCCCCUGCUCGUCCUCACUCUCUGCACAGGCUCCGUUAUUUCCUCUGGGCCAACUCAGGUGCCUGCAGUGUCUGUGGCCUUGGGACAAAUGGCCAGGAUCACCUGCCAGGGAGACAGCAUGGAAGGCUCUUAUGAACACUGGUACCAGCAGAAGCCAGGCCAGGCCCCCGUGCUGGUCAUCUAUGAUAGCAGUGACCGGCCCUCAAGGAUCCCUGAGCGAUUCUCUGGCUCCAAAUCAGGCAACACAACCACCCUGACCAUCACUGGGGCCCAGGCUGAGGAUGAGGCUGAUUAUUACUAUCAGUUGAUAGACAACCAUGCUACUCAACU